GCUAGUGUAGCUCAAUUGGUAGAGCAGCUGCCUUGUAAGCAGCAGGUUGCGGGUUCGAGACCCUCCACUAGCU
rnacentral:tRNA from 1 species